UACAGAGGGGGCAAGCGUUAUUCGGAAUUAUUGGGCGUAAAGGGCGCGUAGGCGGCGCACCAAGUCAGGCGUGAAAGCCCUGGGCUCAACCCGGGAAUUGCGCUUGAGACUGGUGUGCUUGAGUACGGGAGAGGAUAGUGGAAUUCCCAGUGUAGAGGUGAAAUUCGUAGAUAUUGGGAAGAACACCGGUGGCGAAGGCGGCUAUCUGGACCGUAACUGACGCUGAGGCGCGAAAGCGUGGGGAGCAAACAGG
rnacentral:rRNA from 1 species